UCCCUGGUGGCUCAGAUGGUAAAGAAUCUGCCUGCAAUGCAGGAGACCUGGGUUCUAUCCCUGGUUUGGGAA
rnacentral:tRNA from 1 species